GACGAACGCUGGCGGCGCGCCUAACACAUGCAAGUCGAGCGAUGAAAGUUGUUCAGAUCCUUCGGGUGACGAACUUCCGGAUUAGCGGCGAACGGGUGAGUAACGCGUGAGGAACCUGCCUCUCACAACGGGAUAGCCUCGGGAAACCGGGAUUAAUACCGUAUGACACUAUCAGAUGGCAUCAUCAGGUAGUUAAAGUGCUAGCGGUGAGAGAUGGCCUCGCGUCUGAUUAGCUAGUUGGUGAGGUAACGGCCCACCAAGGCGACGAUGGGUAUCCGGCCUGAGAGGGUGAACGGACACAUUGGGACUGAGAUACGGCCCAAACUCCUACGGGAGGCAGCAGCUAAGAAUAUUCCGCAAUGGACGGAAGUCUGACGGAGCGACGCCGCGUGGAUGAAGAAGGCUGAAAAGUUGUAAAAUCCUUUUGUUGAUGAAGAAUAAGGGUGAGAGGGAAUGCUCAUCUGAUGACGGUAAUCGGCGAAUAAGCCCCGGCUAAUUACGUGCCAGCAGCCGCGGUAACACGUAAGGGGCGAGCGUUGUUCGGAAUUAUUGGGCGUAAAGGGUACGUAGGCGGUUUUUUAAGUCAGGUGUGAAAGCGUGAGGCUUAACCUCAUUAAGCACUUGAAACUGGAAGACUUGAGUGAAGGAGAGGAAAGUGGAAUUCCUAGUGUAGCGGUGAAAUGCGUAGAUAUUAGGAGGAAUACCGGUGGCGAAGGCGACUUUCUGGACUUUUACUGACGCUCAGGUACGAAAGCGUGGGGAGCAAACAGG
rnacentral:rRNA from 1 species